rnacentral:rRNA from 1 species
AAGGCUAAAUACUACCUAGUGACCGAUAGCGUAUAGUACCGUGAGGGAAAGGUGAAAAGAACCCCGGGAGGGGAGUGAAAUAGAACCUGAAACCCUGCACUUACAAGCUGUGGAAGCACAUUUCUUGUGUGACCGCGUACUUUUUGUAGAACGGGCCAACGAGUUACGUUAAGUAGCAAGGUUAAGCACUUAAGGUGCGGAGCCGUAGCGAAAGCGAGUUUUAACUGAGCGUUCAGUUACUUGACGUAGACCCGAAACCGGGCGACCUACCCAUGAGCAGGAUGAAGCGAAAGUAAAAUUUCGUGGAGGUCCGAACCCACGAGCGUUGAAAAGCUCGGGGAUGACUUGUGGGUAGCGGUGAAAUUCCAAUCGAGCCCGGAGAUAGCUGGUUCUCCCCGAAAUAGCUUUAGGGCUAGCCUCAAGGUGAGAGAUACGGAGGUAGAGCACUGAAUGUCCUAGGGGGUAUUGCACCUACCGAAGACUAUCAAACUCCGAAU